GAUGUGCUACUGGCUGCUGCUGAUGUCCAGCUGCUGACAGACCAGCUCCUGGCUCAUGCCACCAUGCCACUAACACUUAGCCUUACUACGAAACGAGAGACUGUACUCCCUUCUCUCCACUUCCUUGAACGAAAACUCUCAAAUGAAACCGUUGGCGACUCGACUCUUACUAAGAGCAAGAGUCAUUUCGCAAGGUCAGGUCACUGCUGAGUUGAGAGCAGAUACCAGAGAUAUGUCUCAUGGAGCUGAGCUGGCGGCCGCCGCGCCGGUGCACGCGUACUUGCGCUCGUGACAUCCGUGCUGGGGGCACUCGUAUGCGAACCGUGGUGGCGUUGCCUCUGUGACCCGGGGGCUACCUGGCCGGCUCGAAUACGCGGCGAUGGCGGGCAGGGCGCCCGAGUUCGAUGCGGACGUUGAGUGCUUCGGUGCUUAUACGCGGCGGUUAAAUCAGUACUUUGUGGCGCAAGAUAUCGGGAGUGAUCAAGAAGCAAAGAAGCGGGCCGUUCUGCUUUGUGCGAUCGGCGCAAAAACGUUCGGUCUGCUGGAAGAUCUUAUUGCUCCAGCCACUGUAAGGCAGAAAACAUACGAUCAGCUGGUCAGCGUUUUGCAAAGUCACUUCGAGCCGGAUAAAUCUGAAAUAGUGGCCAGAUUCCGGUUUCAUUCGUGCUCCAGGAAUGACGGUGAGACAGUUGCUAAUUUUCUAGCGCGGCUUCGUAAGCUGGCUAAAGACUGUUCGUUCGCACCUAAUGUCCUUAAUGAAAUGCUGCGUGACCGUUUGGUCUGUGGCAUACGGAACGAGUUGCUGCAACCUUGCUUCUCAGUGAGCCGGGGCUGACGCUCCAGUCGGCGGAGCAGCUGGCUCAGGCACACGAGUCGGCGGCAGGGAGUGCGGCUGAGCUCAGCGGCGGUGCUGAGCAGCGAGCAGAUGGAGCCUCCGUUCAUCGGCUGACUGGUGCCCGGGGUCCGCUGCGGCUGCGUAGCAGUUCUAGGGGUGCCGGUGCUGCCCGCGCUCCUGCCGGCUACAGGGACGGCGGUGGCGGCGCAGCGGACUCCAGAGCUGGUGGUCGGCUGCGCUCUCAGCGUGACAGGACGACGCCCGGGCCAGGUGACAGCACGGCGGCGAGCUGUUUUAGGUGCCUGAGGUAUCAUCAGCCGGCCAAGUGCCCGUUCAUCGAUAAGGUGUGCUACAGCUGUGGCCUCAGGGGUCACGUCCGAGUACCUCCGCCAUGUCUCGGCUGAUGGCGACGCGUUACAAGGGUCGGACGCGCAGGAGGGUAGCAGAGAGGACGGCACUAUGCAACCGAGGAGUUCUAGUCCCGGGACCGGUGAGGAGGUGUACAUACAGCAUUUUCACCGUCCGGACCGGCCUCGGUGUCAGGCGACCGCCGCUGAUGGUGCCGGUAGCGCUCGACGGUCAGAAGGUCGAGAUGGAGCUGGACACCGGGGCGACUCUGUCGGUCUGCUCUGACGCCGGGUUUCGGCAGCUCUGGCCCUGUGGAGGGCCGAAGCUGGAACCGUGUUCGGUGAAGCUGAAGACCUACAGCGGUGAGCAGCUGCCAGUCAUGGGGCAGGCUGCAGUGAACGUUCAGUACGGCGGACAGGCUCAGCGACUACCUCUCAUCGUAGUCGAAGGUGGCGGGCCCUGGCUGUUCGGCAGGAACUGGCUGGGACACAUCAGGCUCGACUGGCCCUCCAUCUGUUGAGUGACUGCGGAGACCCGUGUGCAGCCCAUCCUGGACGAGUUCGCUGACGUUUCAAGGAGGAGCUGGGCUGCUAUCGAGGCGGGGAAGUCGGCAUCGACGUAGACCCGGACGUCCAGCCUCGUUUCUUCAAGCCUCGCACCGUACCGCUGGCCUUCAGGGAAGCUGUGGACACCGAGCUGGAGGACCAGAUCCGUGGCGGACUCUGGGAACAGAGUGACACCGAUACCUGCUCCUGAUCCGGUCACGGAGAGCGCCGCUGCAUCUGCACGGCAUGCUCCCGUUCCCGGACAACUGGCCUCCACUCCCGACCGGCUGCCGGCUCCUGAUCGAGCGCCUACUCCUGGCCGGCCGCCUGUUCCGGCGCCGCCCGGGCUGACCGGAGCGGUGCCCGCGCCGGGUGUGACCACCGUCCCGCCGUCCGCACCCUCUCCCAGCGCGCCGCGGUACCGGCUGAGAGACCGGUCCACCCUGCAGCCCCCAGACCGAUACGUGGCGAGCUAUGAGUAGGCGUUUUGUUUCAGUUGUUAUUUGUUCUGUGAGGUGCAUAUUUAUUUGUUUGUCCAUGCUGUGCAAGUAUUCGGGGUGGAGGAGUGUCAUGGAGCUGAGCUGGCGGCCGCCGCGCCGGUGCACGCGUACUUGCGCUCGUGACAUGCGCUCAUGACACUCGUAUGUGAACCGUGGUGGCGUUGCCUCUGUGACCCGGGGGCUACCUGGCCGGCUCGAAUACAGUUUGGACCGAGA
rnacentral:lncRNA from 1 species